AUAUUAUGUCAAAAUAAUAUCUUGCAAUCAAUUAGGAAAUUAAUUAGAAAAUUAGGAAAUUAAUCAAUUAAUUUAGGUAAUUAAUCCUAUUUUGAAUAAAUAUUUUGGAGGUUACCUUGUGGGGAGGAUUUGAUGAGGAUGGAUGAAAUAAGUUUUGAAUAAAUACCCAUUUUGAUCACUUUUGACCUUGAUUGAGUUGUGAUUGUCCGCUACUCGCGCGUGGGAGUUCCGGUGCGCCUUGAGGGUAAUUUUGCUUUUUUAACUCAAGAAUCCACGUGUCGCCUCCAUAUUUUUCUUGAUUAUUUUUGGCUUCACAGAUCGCACCUAGGCCUUUGAAAGUUGCACCUCAUAUUAAUAUAAUUCUGCACAAGCUCUGUAAAAUAUUCACUUUGGAGACAAUACAUAAUGUCGUGGGUAUUCAAAUUGCAAAGAACACAAAUUGUAAGUGUUCCUUAUGAGAAUCUAAAACAAUCCAUUGCAGCUUAUGACUUUCCUAAGGGUCGACCAACUUCUGGUAUGAUGAAGGCUAUCCUAUCGCUACUGUCCACAAACUUAGAACCCAAAUUUUAGCAUUCAACAAGAACCACGAAAAUGAAAAUAAAUAAAAUUUUAUAUGCACAAAUAAUCAACUAAGAAUAUGAAAAACACAAAAUUAUUUAAAAACAAUCUCCAACAAUGGCGCCAAUUUCUUGAUUGGAUUUUUACUACCUGCAAAAGUAGGUAUAAAAACACUUAAAAAUACUUGUAAGGGUACAAGGUAAUCGUAGUAUAAUAGCUUAAGUAAGGUCAUUCUCCACAAGGAUUUUUUAAAAUAAUUUAUGUUAAAACCAAAUCUUAGUUAAUUAUUUAAGAAAAAAAGUUAGAAAAGGUUGAUCUUGGAAUUUAAAUAAUAAAAAUGAAUUUUAAUUAAAACAAUUAAAGAAAUCAGCAAAGUAAAGAAAACAAAAGAAAAUGGUUUUUGAAAAUCGAGUUGUAAAAACACUAAGGUUCCGCCGUCACCUUAACAAUCCAACAUACUUCUUCCAAUUACUUAUGACUUAUACAUGCAUACUUGGAAGGUUAGGUUUUCCUAAAGUAUGCUCUACUUUGACCUCCAAUCUAAAACGUUUGUCAAACAUGCAAUCCAUCUUUGGUAUUCAGAUCAAAUCUAAACAUGCAAGACUCAUUAAGCUUUAUGAUAUCCUUUGAAAAAAUAGGCAACCCGUAAGACAUGAUAUUCAUCCUAAGUAAAAUUACAAUUAUUUACCACAAGAAGCCUUCAUCAAAUUCAGGGACAGUCCUCCAACCAAAAUUGCUUCAAAUUACUUUUUUAAAUAUCCUAAUGGUAACUAAGCAUUAAGACAAUUAGAUAGUUUAAACUCAGUGAUUACUAGUUCAAAACAUGCAGGUAUAAAUAAAUUGAAAAGAAACUACAUAUUCUUUCUAAAGCUCGUGGCCUAACCCUAGCAAAAGAAAGUUAGUUACACACAAUCAUAAUUAAAAAGCAAAAUAGUAUUAAAAGCAUGGACAGAAAACACCUUGUAAAUAAACUUGAAUCGCCAAAAAACUCUCUAAACUGAAUUCUCCAAAGUAGUGCGUCGAAAACCCUAAUGGCUACUUAGCCUUAUUUAUACUACUACAAAAUAAAAUCCUUCUAGAAAAGGUCUUCUAAAAACUAGGAAACAAAAUAAGUUAAAGUAAACUAGGAAAUAUAAUUACAAUCAAUUAUGAGAAAUUUGCCCCUUCAAAGAUCAGCCACGUUCAAAUCCUAAAUCAGCU
rnacentral:lncRNA from 1 species